rnacentral:rRNA from 1 species
UACGUAGGUGGCAAGCGUUAUCCGGAAUUAUUGGGCGUAAAGAGCGCGCAGGUGGUUGAUUAAGUCUGAUGUGAAAGCCCACGGCUUAACCGUGGAGGGUCAUUGGAAACUGGUCGACUUGAGUGCAGAAGAGGGAAGUGGAAUUCCAUGUGUAGCGGUGAAAUGCGUAGAGAUAUGGAGGAACACCAGUGGCGAAGGCGGCUACCUGGACCAACACUGACACUGAGGUGCGAAAGCGUGGGGAGCAAACAGGAUUAGAUACCCCCGUAGU